GAUUACCACAGACUAGAUCAGAUAUUUCACUCUGACUGACCACAGUAUCCCAAAUGAUAAGUCAUUGUUUUGGGAAAAUGUGUAUCCUUUUGUAAUUCGAUAUAGCAACCGCGGAAGGAGAUUCUACGCCCUCUCUGACACAUUGCCUGGUUAUAUUGCCAAUGGACCACAGUGGUGUAGCAAUGAGAGUGAUACAAC